UACGGAGGGAGCUAGCGUUGUCCGGAAUCAUUGGGCGUAAAGAGCGCGUAGGCGGCUGGAAUAGUCCGGUGUGAAAUCCACAGGCUUAACCUGUGAAUGCCGCUGGAAACUGUCUGGCUAGAGUCCGGAAGGGGCGAGUGGAAUUCCUGGUGUAGCGGUGAAAUGCGCAGAUAUCAGGAGGAACACCAAUGGCGAAGGCAGCUCGCUGGGACGGUACUGACGCUGAGGCGCGAAAGCGUGGGGAGCGAACAGG
rnacentral:rRNA from 1 species